UACGAAGGGGGCAAGCGUUGUUCGGAAUUACUGGGCGUAAAGGGCGCGUAGGCGGUGCACUAAGUCAGGCGUGAAAGCCCUGGGCUCAACCCGGGAAUUGCGUUUGAUACUGGUGCGCUUGAAUCCAGGAGAGGUUGGUGGAAUUCCCAGUGUAGAGGUGAAAUUCGUAGAGAUUGGGAAGAACACCGGUGGCGAAGGCGGCGACCUGGUCCGACACUGACGCUGAGGCGCGAAAGCGUGGGGAGCAAACAGG
rnacentral:rRNA from 1 species